rnacentral:rRNA from 1 species
AGUCUGGCCUGCCCACUGAGGGUAUUUAAAGGCCGCGGUAUUAUGACCGUGCGAAGGUAGCAUAAUCAUUAGUCUUUUAAUUGAGGGCUGGUAUGAAGGGUCGGACGAGAAAUGAGCUGUCUUAAAUUUUGAAAAUUGAAUUUAACUCUUAAGUGAGAAGGCUUAAAUAGGCUAGGGGGACGAUAAGACCCUAUAAAGUUUGACACUAAAUUAAUUAAGGGUGAUUUAGGUAAUAAAGUCUUAUUAUUAUAUAAGUGUAUAGUUGGGGCGACUAGGAUAUAAGUUAUUUAACUGUUUCUUCACUCGAAUCAAAAAUUUUUGAUUUUAUGAUCCUUUUUUAGGAUAUUAGAGUAAAUUACUUUAGGGAUAACAGCGUAAUUUUUUUUGAGAGUUCUUAUCGAUAAAAGAGUUUGCGACCUCGAUGUUGAAUUAAAAUUUCUUUGUAAUGCAGCAGUUACAAGAGAGGGUCUGUUCGACCUUUAAAUUUUUACAUGAUUUGAGUUCAGACCGGCGUGAGCCAGGUUGGUUUU